CUACGGAGCUCAAAAUUUACAGCUAACAAGAGACCCAGUGAUGGUGAGACGAAGUCACAGGCAUUUAUAAUCUCUUGGCCUCUUGCACCAUAUCAGAAUUAUAAGUUAAAAGGCCUUGACUUAAUUCGAACAAAAAUAGGUUCCAUUUUUUACAGUUCCAUAUAUACCUUUCCAAAGCUCUGCCGCAGAUCCUUGAUUUAUCGUAUUGCUCUUUGUAAAGAAUUUUGAAAUGCAUAUAUGUGAAACUCGUCAUAGAGGUGCUGGAGUAAAACCUUGGUAGAUAGAGUCCAGUCCUGAUGCGAUCUAAUCUGACUCGAGUUGUAAAUAUGAAAUUUCCAUAUUAGUACACUAUCCCAAGGUCUUUAAUCUUCUCCACUGCAGAAUAUUACCGUCAAGGUGGGUAUUAGCAUCUAAUCUUUCUUCAGAGAGGUUCUCCAGGGUCAAAUACAGAUUUCAUGCACCGAUUGCCACUCUCUUGGAAGCAAGUGACAGAGGACUGAUGUAGACUUCAGACAAAGAGACCAAAACUCGAUGAAAAGCCAGUGCUGAAGCUGCAACAACCAUAAUAAAAGAAGUCCAGCAGAAUUUUAGCAUCAGCACUGUAUCUUUCCUUGCAGAAUCUAUUAUCCUGGAAAAGAUCACUUUGAGCCGACGGUCUUUGAAGAUGGA
rnacentral:misc_RNA from 1 species